rnacentral:misc_RNA from 1 species
UUGUGUUCACGGGCGGACUCGACGCCGGGAUGCUCGUGGCGCUCCCGCGGCCGCCAUUUCGUGCCAGACUUCUGGUGCGUAAUGGGGGUUUUCGCGGGCCGCAAAGCAGCGUCCCGGUGUAAUUGCCUCGUCGGCUUGUCCCCACACUUCAAGAAACUGGCAACGUUUGAACUUCAAGUCUGCACAACGCGUCGCGUCGGGGACCUGCUACGGGAGGAGCGCAGCUUCAACUUGGCUGCUAGACCAGAGUGCACAUGGACCAGCCGUGGCUUCGCGCUCAAGCGUUAUUCGAGCGCUGACGUACUGACACGCCCCGUGCCACACCGGCGUAUCUUGCGCACUGUAUAUCGCCGACGGGAGUCCUGAUGGCGGACGUGCUCCCGGCAUUGGAUCGAGAACGCCAAGUCUUCACGCAUCCCCUGUGCCACAACGGCAGAUCUUCCUGGCGGGUAUCCUCCUGGCACUGCCUCAACUCUGCAAACUGUUGGUGUCACCAGGGCCACGUGCUGCUAACAAGAGGCCAUGGACAAGGAUCGAGCUGCUUCCCUGGCAAUUAACAGAACAUCGACAGUCAUUGUUGCCAGCUUCAUCAGCAGCAUCGAAUUGUCCCUGUCCAUCUACGGUUUGUUUCAUUUCUAUGGUCAC